rnacentral:lncRNA from 1 species
GGGAUUCCGAGUAAGAGAAUGCGGAGCACAUAUCUACACCUAUUUAUGGCUCUAGGUAUAUUUUUAGACCCGUUCGAGGAUGAACACUUGUUUAAGACGGGAAGGAUGUAACGACUUAGCCGGUUUUUUCAGAGUUAUAGCCAUGUCCCCCUAUUUCCUGCCUCUCUUGUGUUCUACAAGUGUAUUAUGAUUUAAGCGAUUAGUUGGUUUGGGUCCAGAGUAGUUUUGGGGUGAAUUGAGA